rnacentral:lncRNA from 1 species
GGCAGCCUCUUCCCUGGGAAUUCCAGGCUUAGGGUUCUGCAUCAGGAACAGAGCAGACUUAUCUAAGGCUUUCCCUCCGGGAAACACUUCACUUCCUCCAGUGCAAUGACUCUCUUCCCUUUCCACACAAUUCAAUAGGCUUCAACACUGAGACAAAGUGCUACAAUUUGAUCCCCCCUCCCCUGUGCUGUGUGAAUGAACCUGGGGCUUUCAACAAGGGUAAGAAGAUGAAACAAGAGUACGAUCCCCGGGG